rnacentral:lncRNA from 1 species
UUGUUAAAAUAAUGCUUCAAUUAAAAUAUAAAUACGUAGAAGAUGAUUAAAAAAAAAUAACAAAUUGGUGGUUGUACUAAAAAUUUUUUACAAACUCAUGAUUGUACUUGAAUAUUUAUAUAAAAUCGUUAAAUUUGACUAACGAACAUAACCAAAAAGUCUUAGUAUGUUAACAGAUCCUAUGUGGAUAAUGACAUUUAUAUCUAAGACCGAUGACCAUUGAUGCCUAAUUCCCCUUAUUUUGCCUAUUUCAUCCUCACCAAUUACAAAUAUCAUUAUGCACGUAGGAUAUGUUAGUCUACCAAGAUUUUUUCAUGUUCGUUGGUCAAAUUUAACGAUUUUACAUAAAUGUUCAAAUACAAUAACCACUUUGUAAAUUUUUGCUAGUACAAACACAAAUUUGUUACUUUUUUCGGUUAGAAUCCAAACUUGUAAGCCAGAUGCCAA